rnacentral:tRNA from 1 species
AGCCCGAGUAGUUCAACAGGUUAGAACGUUAAUUUCAUGCAUUAAGAAUGAGAAUUCGAAUUUCUCCUCUGGCUA